UUUCUUCUUUAGUUUUCUAUGUUGUGUCAUGUGUACUAUUGUUUUUCUGUUUGUCUUUUUCAUUUUUAGCCAUGGCGUUGUCAUUUUUUUUUAGAUUUACGAGUUUGACUGUCCCUUUGGUAUCUUUCGUCCCUCCUUUAUACUUCGUUCAUUUGAUUGUAUGAAAGCUUUUUUUAAGAAUCCGGUCUUUUACUGCAAACAAAAAAUGAAAGAUAAAAGCGAUUUUUG
rnacentral:lncRNA from 1 species